ACCAAACAACUAUACCUAGAGAAAGAGGACUCGAACCUCCAUCAAAAAAUCCAAAAUUUUCCGUAUUCCCACCUAUACUAUUCACUA
rnacentral:tRNA from 1 species